rnacentral:rRNA from 1 species
AAAAUCCGUGAAGCUGUUACCUUAAAGUGUUACGGGUGUGCUAAUUCUUAGGAAAAAGCAUAUUUGACUAAUCCCAUGCUGACUAGAAAAACUUCUAGCGAGCUAAAGAGUGAUCGUACCGCAAACUGACACAGGUAGACGAGCUGAGAAUGCUCAGGCGUUGAGAUAAUUAUCAUUAAGGAACUCGGCAAAAUAACCCCGUAACUUCGGGAUAAGGGGUGCCUAUAAUGUUUUCUAGUUUACUAGAGACGCAUUUUUAGGCUUCAACAAAGAGGCCCAAUCGACUGUUUAACAAAAACACAGGGCUCUGCUAAACUCGUAAGAGGAUGUAUAGAGUCUGACGCCUGCCCAGUGCCGGAAGGUUAAUAGGAGAGGUUAGUCCUUCGGGACGAAGCUUUGAAUUGAAGCCCCGGUAAACGGCGGCCGUAACUAUAACGGUCCUAAGGUAGCGAAGUACCUUGUCGGGUAAGUUCCGACCUGCAUGAAUGGCGUAACGAGUUGGGCGCUGUCUUAAUGAUAAACUCAGUGAAUUUGUAGUGCAAGUGAAAAUGCUUGCUUCCUGCGACUGGACGGAAAGACCCCGUGCACCUUUACUAUAACUUAACAUUGAUUUUUGGAUUGAUAUGUGUAGGAUAGGCGGGAGACUGGGAAGCUGAGGCGCUAGCCUUAGUGGAGUCAACCUUGAAAUACCGCUCUUAUCCGUUUGAAAAUCUAACAUUGACCCGUAAACCGGGCAGUAGACAGUGUUUGGCGGGUAGUUUGACUGGGGUGGUCGCCUCCUAAAUUGUAACGGAGGCGUUCAAAGGUUCCCUCAAGACGAAUAGAAAUCGUCGGUAGAGCGUAAAGGCAUAAGGGAGCUUAACUGUGAGACAAACAAGUCGAACAGAUGCGAAAGCAGGACUUAGUGAUCCAGUGGUCCCGUAUGGAAGGGCCAUUGCUAAACGGAUAAAAGGUACGCCGGGGAUAACAGGCUGAUCUCCUCUAAGAGUCCACAUCGACGAGGAGGUUUGGCACCUCGAUGUCGGCUCAUCGCAUCCUGGGGCUGAAGAAGGUCCCAAGGGUUUGGCUGUUCGCCAAUUAAAGCGGUACGUGAGCUGGGUUCAGAACGUCGUAAGACAGUUCGGUCCUUAUCCGUCGUGGGCGUAAGGUAUUUGAGAGGAGCUGUCCCUAGUACGAGAGGACCGGGAUGGGCAGACCUCUGGUGUUCCAGUUGUUCACCAAGAGCAACGCUGGGUAGCCAAGUGUGUAAGAGAUAACCGCUGAAAGCAUCUAAGUGGGAAACUCGCCUCAAGAUAAGAUACCUCGGAUUGACGUGAGUCAGUUCAUAAGGUUCGUUGAAGACUACAACGUUGAUAGGCUGGAUGUGUAAGCACAGUAAUGUGUUGAGCUAACCAGUACUAAUAAACCGAAUGUUUUAAUCAC